GACGAACGCUGGCGGCGUGCUUAACACAUGCAAGUCGAACGGAAAGGCCCUGCUUUUGUGGGGUGCUCGAGUGGCGAACGGGUGAGUAACACGUGAGUAACCUGCCCUUGUCUUUGGGAUAACUUCAGGAAACUGGGGCUAAUACCGGAUAGGAGCUCCUGCUGCAUGGUGGGGGUUGGAAAGUUUCGGCGGUUGGGGAUGGACUCGCGGCUUAUCAGCUUGUUGGUGGGGUAGUGGAUUACCAAGGCUUUGACGGGUAGCCGGCCUGAGAGGGUGACCGGCCACAGUGGGACUGAGAUACGGCCCAGACUCCUACGGGAGGCAGCAGUGGGGAAUAUUGCACAAUGGGCGGAAGCCUGAUGCAGCAACGCCGCGUGCGGGAUGACGGCCUUCGGGUUGUAAGCCGCUUUCGCCUGUGACGAAGCGUGAGUGACGGUAAUGGGUAAAGAAGCACCGGCUAACUACGUG
rnacentral:rRNA from 1 species